rnacentral:rRNA from 1 species
GACGAACGCUGGCGGCGUGCUUAACACAUGCAAGUCGAACGGAAAGGCCCUGCUUUUUUGGGGUGCUCGAGUGGCGAACGGGUGAGUAACACGUGAGUAACCUGCCCUUGACUUUGGGAUAACUUCAGGAAACUGGGGCUAAUACCGGAUAGGAUCUCCUGCUGCAUGGUGGGGGUUGGAAAGUUUCGGCGGUUGGGGAUGGACUCGCUGCUUAUCAGCUUGUUGGUGGGGUAGUGGCUUACCAAGGCUUUGACGGGUAGCCGGCCUGAGAGGGUGACCGGCAAAAAGGGGACGGAGAUACGGACCAGACUGGAACGGGAGGAAGCAGGGGGGAAUAGUGAAGAAGGGGAGGAAGCAUGAUGAAGAAAAGGAGCGUGCGGGAUGAAGGCCUUCGGGUUGAAAACAGAUUUAGAAUGAGAAGAAGCGAGAGUGACGGUAAUGGGUAAAGAAGCACCGGCUAACUACGUG